UUUUCUCUCAAACGAGAGAAACAAAACUCUUCCCCUUCGUCUUUUACAUCAGGCAGAGAAACCAAAAAAAAACAACGCCUAGCCGCCGACCACUGUAAAUCGAUGGCCAUCUACUCUUCCGACCACCGCCUCCAAACCUUUAAUCAUAAACCAAUAUUGGUUGAAACAAACCGAAAUCCUCCUAUUAGAACUUGGAACCCCGAUUUGGGCUAAAAGACCAACCGAUCGAGACCUUGAAAACUAAUCUAGCCCUCCUCCGACGAGGGAUCCCAAAUGAUCGAGAGGUAAGCACUUCCCCUUCUUAUUUCUCUCUAUUUUUUUUGUUUAUUUUACAUAUAUGUUCGAUAAUCAAAGAGAAAGACAAGAAAAGGAAAAAAAUCCCAUUAUUCAAACUCCUCUGCUAAGAAAGAAAAAAAACAGUUUUUCGUUUUUUUUUUCUUUUUGAUGUAUUUUGAAUCCAUUGUUUUUCUUUUGUGUUUACAAUAUUACUACUGUUCUAGUUCGAAAAUAACAAUAAAAAAAAGAUUCAAAGGGGAAGUAAACCUUAAAAAUGUAAUCUCUGCUGAUUAAUUGCUGUUGGUCUAUAAAAUUAUAUACUGUUCUAGGGUUUUUAUAACCCCAUUUUACAUGUAAAAUAAUAAUAAAAAGUUACACUCUUUUUAUUUUGUUAUGAUGAGCUAAACAUUGGCGUGUGGCAUUGGUGGCCACGGAAGGAGCUGCCGACAACGUGGAGCAUUUGGGACCAUGGGCGUGGUGGUUGUGCUAGAACGAGGAAGGGCAGCUGGCUCCUACUGGAAGCUGCUGGAAUCCACAGGUGGAGGGACAACUGUUGUUGAAGCUGCUGAAACGUAGAGCAAGGGAAUCCACGGCUUGGUUGGGGUGUUGGCAGUUGCUGGAGUCUAAGUGAGGUACGCGAAUGGAAGGAAGAUGUACGAAAUUUUCUAUCUUGUUUUGAACACAUAGAUAAGCAGGUGUGGAGUGGUGAGAAAUCUGGCCACUAUAGUGUUCGUAGUGGGUAUCGCUUCCUUUUACUUAUUGUUGGUAAUGAAGAUGUGCAUUUUUAUAGAUGCCUAUGGGCUAGUGAUUGCCAGCAGAAAAUACGAGUUCAGGGGUGGAAAUUUACAAGGAAUUAUGUGCCUACUCGACAGAAUCUUUAUGUCAAACGUAUAUGCCAAACCCUACUUGCCCGGUAUGUUGUCUAUAUCCUGAAACAGCUAUUCAUGUUAUUUAUGGAUGGGCUUUUACAUACGCAAUCUGGCAGUUGCUACAAUUCCAAUUACCCAUUACUGAUGCUCAGUGGACAUGUUAUGAUUGGAUGCAUUGGAUGUUUGGUAAUAAUCCCGGUGUAAAGCAUGGACAAAUAUUAAUAGCUAUUUGGGCGAUUUGGUACGCACCUAAUAGGCAUUAUGAUGAAGGACGACAAAUAAAUGCAGUGAAAACAGUUACCUUCGUUAGAUCCCAGUACACUGAUUUUGGGCUGGCUAAUGCCCGUAUUCAUGCUCCACCCAAAGUUACAACAUCACAGUGGGUUCCUCCAAUCGUACCUAUGGUCAAAGUUAACUUUGACGCCCAUUUCAGACCACCAGAAAACAUAUCAUGGUGAGGGGUUGUUAUUCGAGAAUCUAAAAGAAAAAUCUUGGAGGCUUGCAGACGAAGAACAAAUAACAUUACCUCAGCCUUUGCAACAGUAGCGGUGGCAGCGGUUCAUGCAGUUCAGCUUACGGUGGACAUGGGGUUCCUGUAUGCAAUUUUUGAAGGAGACUUUCGUGCUGUGAUCCUGUAACUUUCCUUCGAUGAAUAUGAUUUUUCGGAGAUUAGUGGGUGGAUUAGUGAAGCGAAAGGUCUCUCUGGUCUUCUUCGUUCGUCAGAAUACAAGUUCGUUCCUAGAGAAUGCAACCGUGCGGCGCAUCUCCUAGCAGGUGAUCAACGAUCAGAAAUGUGAACCUCUUCUGGAUAGAAUAAGCACCGAGACAAGUGACCUUCCAAGUUGCUGAGUAUCGUCGCUUUCUGGACCCUCCGUAGUAACUGGAAAUCUCUCUUGCCGUAGAAAGGUUCAAUUGUUGCAGCGUUUCUUGAACUUCCCUUGAUGUUCCUGCUAAAUGUUUUAUCUUUGCAAGGAGAAGAUCAGUCGGCAUUUUUUGUUUCUCCAUUUCUCUACUCUCCUGUUUCUACUUUGCUUUCAUUAAAUUUUAUUUAUUUACUUUCCUCGGUUUGUGAGAACUUAUGACGCUUUAUUGCUUUGUUUUGGGCCA